rnacentral:rRNA from 1 species
UACGGAGGGGACUAGCGUUGUUCGGAAUUACUGGGCGUAAAGCGCACGUAGGCGGAUUUGUAAGUCAGGGGUGAAAUCCCGGGGCUCAACCUCGGAACUGCCUUUGAUACUGCAAAUCUCGAGUCCGGAAGAGGUGAGUGGAAUUCCUAGUGUAGAGGUGAAAUUCGUAGAUAUUUAGGAAGAACACCAGUGGCGAAGGCGGCUCACUGGUCCGGUACUGACGCUGAGGUGCGAAAGCGUGGGGGAGCAAACAGG